rnacentral:rRNA from 1 species
UGGGGAAUAUUGGACAAUGGAGGAAACUCUGAUCCAGCAAUUCUGUGUGUGUGAAGAAGGUUUUAGGCCUGUAAAACACUUUUAGUAGGGAAGAAAAAAAUGACGGUACCUACAGAAGAAGCAACGGCUAAAUACGUGCCAGCAGCCGCGGUAAUACGUAUGUUGGGAGCGUUAUCCGGAAUUAUUGGGCUUAAAGGCCAUCUAGGCGGUAAGACAAGUCGAAGGGGAAACCCUGUGGCUCAACCAUAGGCUUGCCUACAAAACUGUUGAUCUAGAUUACUCGAAAGGUGGGUGGAACUACAUGCGUAGAGGUGCAAUUCGUAGAUAUCUGUAGGAAUGCCGAUGAUGAGGAUAACUCACUGGACAGUAACUGACGAUGAAGUGCGAAAGCGAGGGGAGCAACCAGG